rnacentral:tRNA from 1 species
GCCCGGGUGGCGGAACGGUAGACGCGCUGGACUUAAAAUCCGGUGGGGCUUUGGCCCCGUGAGGGUUCGAGACCCUCCCCGGGCACCA